rnacentral:rRNA from 1 species
UACGGGGGGGGCAAGCGUUGUUCGGAAUUACUGGGCGUAAAGGGCUCGUAGGCGGCCAACUAAGUCAGACGUGAAAUCCCUCGGCUUAACCGGGGAACUGCGUCUGAUACUGGAUGGCUUGAGUUUGGGAGAGGGAUGCGGAAUUCCUGGUGUAGCGGUGAAAUGCGUAGAUAUCUGGAGGAACACCGGUGGCGAAGGCGGCGGUCUGGACUGUUACUGACACUGAUGAACGAAAGCCAGGGGAGCAAACGGG